rnacentral:lncRNA from 1 species
CAGCACUAAAAUAAAUAAAUAAUCAAUCAAUCUCUUUCAGGUCUUGAGGGAGUUUUUGCUUUCUCAGACAUAACCUUACAUAAGAUUGAAACUCGACUCCUUCCUUAACUGUUUUCCAUAGGAUUUAGUAACUUGUUAGCAAAUCAUUUCUUUCCCACUGGAAUGUAAACUUGAGGGCAAAAGAUUUUUCAGUUUUAAUCAGUAUAGUUUCUCUAGAGCCUAUACUUGUGCCAUGCACAUAGUAAGGAUACAAAAAGCUAUCUAAUUCUACAGUGUUUUCAUCACCACAAAAAUGCUGUACCCAUUAGCAAUCACUUAUAUUUUUUAAAAAUUGAGUACCUCUAAACUAUUUGGUUUAUAUGGUGAUAUUUAUCUUAAAAACAUACAAUUGAGGGGCUCAGUGGUAGAGCACUUGCUUAGGACAUGUGAGGCAGUAAGUUCAAUCCUCAGCACCACAUAAAUAUAAAUAAAUAAAGGUAUUAUGUCCACCUACAACUAAAAAGUAUAAAAAAUACAAUUGAGAUACUUUUAAAAAUAUUAAUUUACUUUAAAAAAAAUGGGCUGGAGUUGUGGCUCAGUGGUAGAGUGCUUGCCUAGUACUUAUGAGGCACAGGGUUCGAUCCCCAGCAUCACAUUAAAAACAAUGAACAAAUAAAAUAAAGGUAUUGUGUGCACCUACAACUAAAAAAAUAUUUUAAAAAAAUAAAAUGAUUUCAGGUAACUAAACAUUUCUUAAUUAAAACAGUAAUUUUCCGGGCUGGGGUUGUAGCUCAGUGGUAAGAGCGCUUGCUUUGCCCGUGUGAGUUGGGUCCUCAGCACAACAUUAACAAACAAAUAAAUAAAUAGUAAUUUUCCAAAACAAAAAAAAUGUAGUAAGAAAAGGGAAUUGUUUUACAUAUUUGUAAAUAUCUUUGGUUUAAUACAAGAUGGCUGGAUUCUCAUAUUAACUGUUGUGAAAGAAAUAUGCCCACAAAAUC